CCUUAUUUUAAAAAUUUUUUAUUUAAGUAGUGUAAAUGUUAAUUAUAUUAUUUAUGUUUGAAACUUAAAAAGCUUGGCGUNGUUGUAGACCCAUUUAGGGGAGCUUGUUUAUUAAUUUGAUAAUCCUCAAUUAAUUCUUACUUUUUCUUGAUAAGGCAGUUUGUGUAUUGCUGUCGUCAGUUUAUUUCGUAAGAAUAGCUAAAGGACUUAAAAAUGUUUAGAUUAAAAUGUCAAGUCAAAAGGCAGCUUAUGGAAAAGGUUUAUAAAAUGAGCUACAAUUUAUAGAUUUUAAUUGGAUUAAACUUGUAAAAGUUUAUAAAUUUGGACUUAAUAGUAAUAUAUAAUUAGUGUGUUUAUAUGAAUAAGGUUCUAUAACGCGU
rnacentral:rRNA from 1 species